rnacentral:rRNA from 1 species
UACGGAGGGGGCAAGCGUUGUUCGGAAUUACUGGGCGUAAAGCGCGCGUAGGCGGUUGGGUAAGUCAGAUGUGAAAUCCCUCAGCUCAACUGGGGAACUGCGUCUGAUACUGCUCGACUUGAGUCCGAUAGGGGAUGGCAGAAUUCCCGGUGUAGCGGUGGAAUGCGUAGAUAUCGGGAGGAAUACCGAUGGCGAAGGCGGCCAUCUGGGUCGGUACUGACGCUGAGGCGCGAAAGCUAGGGGAGCAAACAGG